rnacentral:rRNA from 1 species
GUCGACGGUGUCUUCGGACAUAGUGGCGCACGGGUGCGUAACACGUAUGCAACCUACCUUACAUUGGGGGAUAGCCUUUCGAAAGGGAGAUUAAUACCGCAUAAGACAGUAACUAGGCAUCUAGUAGCUGUUAAAGAUUUAUCGAUGUAAGCUGGGCAUGCGUCCAAUUAGCUAGUUGGUGAGGUAAUGGCUCACCAAGGCUAUGAUUGGUAGGGGAACUGAGAGGUCAAUCCCCCACACUGGCACUGAGAUACGGGCCAGACUCCUACGGGAGGCAGCAGUAGGGAAUAUUGGGCAAUGGACGCAAGUCUGACCCAGCCAUGCCGCGUGCAGGAUGAAGGCGUUAUGCGUUGUAAACUGCUUUUAUACAGGAAGAAACGACUCUUGCGAGAGGCAUUGACGGUACUGUAUGAAUAAGCACCGGCUAACUCCGUGCCAGCAGCCGCGGUAAUACGGAGGGUGCAAGCGUUGUCCGGAUUUAUUGGGUUUAAAGGGUGCGCAGGUGGUUUAUUAAGUCAGUGGUGAAAGACGGUCGCUCAACGAUUGCAGUGCCAUUGAAACUGGUAGACUUGAGUAAAGUAGAGGUGGGCGGAAUUGAUAGUGUAGCGGUGAAAUGCAUAGAUAUUAUCAAGAACUCCAAUUGCGUAGGCAGCUCACUUGGCUUUUACUGACACUCAUGCACGAAAGUGUGGGUAUCAAACAGGAUUAGAUACCCUGGUAGUCCACACUGUAAACGAUGAUAACUAGGUG